rnacentral:rRNA from 1 species
UGGGGAAUUUUGGACAAUGGGGGAAACCCUGAUCCAGCCAUCCCGCGUGUGCGAUGAAGGCCUUCGGGUUGUAAAGCACUUUUGGCAGGAAAGAAACGUCGCGGGUUAAUACCCCGCGAAACUGACGGUACCUGCAGAAUAAGCACCGGCUAACUACGUGCCAGCAGCCGCGGUAAUACGUAGGGUGCAAGCGUUAAUCGGAAUUACUGGGCGUAAAGCGUGCGCAGGCGGUUCGGAAAGAAAGAUGUGAGAUCCCAGAGCUUAACUUUGGAACUGCAUUUUUAACUACCGGGCUAGAGUGUGUCAGAGGGAGGUGGAAUUCCGCGUGUAGCAGUGAAAUGCGUAGAUAUGCGGAGGAACACCGAUGGCGAAGGCAGCCUCCUGGGAUAACACUGACGCUCAUGCACGAAAGCGUGGGGAGCAAACAGGAUUAGAUACCCUGGUAGUCCACGCCCUAAACGAUGUCAACUAGCUGUUGGGGCCUUCGGGCCUUGGUAGCGCAGCUAACGCGUGAAGUUGACCGCCUGGGGAGUACGGUCGCAAGAUUAAAACUCAAAUGAAUUGAC